rnacentral:lncRNA from 1 species
CAUCUGCUAGAUUUUUAUUAAAGUAACAAAAAAAGGUGUACAUUUGUCCAUAAACCUGUACAUUCUUCCAUAUAAAACACUAUUAUACAAUUAGUAACCUUUGUCUUUUCUAUCAGAAUAACUUACAAACUACUAUUAUUUAUUUUUACUUAAUAGGAGAGACAGGCCUGCUCAACAGUCCAGCUCUGGGUGUUUUGUUGAUUUUAAAGUGAACAUCAAAAAGAAGAGAGAAAAGAUUAAGCAUGAGACUAUGAGGCUGCUUAUAAUCUGCAGUGAUUCACAGCUUUGUUUCAACCCACAGGCCAGAAAAUUAGCUCUUGGGUCUGUGGGCCCAAAGUUACCUUUAAAGCAAUAAAGACUGGAAACAGGGGCUGGGAUGGUAGCUGGGGAUCUGGAACGUUGAAGAGGCAGAACUGGCAGGAAUGGGUAGGGAAAGUGUUUGGUAAAUAGCACCUUUGAAUCAGAACUGAGUAGUUAAGAAAUCCAGGAAAGGGGACUGGCAGUGGGGAGGAAGUUUUCUCCACAAGGGGCAAUGGCAGGAGGGUAGCCAGGUUGACCAGAUGUUCUAGCUCCAUCCUUCUUGAGAUGGUCUUGGGUUUGCGAUACUCAAGGCCUUCUGAGGACCCCUCACUAAUACCACUGAAAACCUGAAGGAAGAGGAUUUCUUCCCAGUGUAGUUUUGCAUUUUUCUGCAACCCAAAACAGUAAAUAUUGCACAAGUCUACAGACAAAUUUGGAUUGUACUGAGAGACGGCAACAUCUCCCACAGGUGCUCUGAGCACGGGGAAGAAAAAAACAAUGCCCAAGGUUUGGCUUUUAGUGUCAGCCCUACAAAAAUACCAAGUAGUCCUGCAGAACUUGGGGCAUUCUCCCAUUCGGCCAAGGAAUACUGCAAGGCUGAGGAUCCAGCCAUAGUCCCAAGGACAGAGGGAGAGAUGGUUCCCUAAGCCUGCCAAGGCACCAGAAGGUUGUAAGAGCCAGUUCUCCUCCAGACCCUCCUGGGACCCAAGAGGCCAUAUUGCACAGUGACUGAGAACUUUUGUCCUAGAAAACAGGGUAACUGCAUGACCCAACCAGGAGGGGAGAGGAGCAGGGAGAGUUAGAGAGGAGUGUUGUGCUUUUAAAAAGAAGGCAGUAAUCAAGGAUGUGGAGUUCCCUGUAACUUUUGAGCCACCUCUCCAAGGGAUAAUGGUAGCAUCGCCAGGACUUUCACGUAGUUCCAAAAAAAAAAAAAAAAAAAAAUUACCACAUAUACACAUAGAGCAGCACAUAGCAAGGCAAAGAUUUCGUGCAGAGUACCCUUCUGUCCCAACUCCAAUAACCUGCAACCCCUGCCUCACUCCCCUGAACCCCCAAACAAAAAGCUUUAUAUUCUUGGUGGGUAGCAACAUCCAUAGGCCCCUGAGAAUAGAAUUAGAAAUAAGUCAUGAUUUUAAGAAAAACUGUUCAGGACAGAAGGAAUCAAGAGAGGCUUUUUCACUCUCUGCCUAGGAUCUCAUUAGAAAAAUAAAAGAGAAAGAUUAGGCAAUAUAGCAUAAUUUAAGUCCAGGUUUGAAUGCCCCUGAGUAAGAGAGGGGCUGGGGAUGCAGGUGUCCUGGUUAGAAGAGGGAGAGGUUAGAACUCAGCCUCUCUUCUCCAUCCAGGACAGAUCCUGACCUCUCUCAUUCACAGUUGCUAACCUUGCUUGCUCCUUCUCACAACUUCCUGGGGUGCUAGCCAAGCCUCUCCCCCAUCACCUUGACCAGACCCGCCCCCUGAACUUUCCCCCCUCCCAUAGGCAGACACUGGCUCCCAGACUCAAGCGCACAACGAUUCUCUCCAAAGGCACCUGGGGAGGCCACUUCCAAGCAGCUCCCUUUAAGGAUUUUUUUCUUAAAAAAAAUCUUUUGGUUUUUUUUUUUCUCCUCUUUUCUUAAAAAAAAAAAAUAAUAUAUAUAUAAAUAGCUCUUCAUUUAAAAUACAGUUCCCCAGGUUGAGGUAUGCAAUGGCCUGUUGUCACGGCAGGCAGAAUGAGUACAGUAGAGUGCCAGGUGGGGGCCACAGGGGAUCUAACUGGAGACCGCCAUGACGUAGUUCUUCGAGGGGCUGCUCCUGCCCAGCAUCAUUUGGUUCUUGCAGGUGAGGAGCCCAUAGGAGGUGGCCACCGGGGCCUCCUCGUACAGGAC